UAUCCCCAGGCUGCAAACAAAUAGCCUAGAAUUUCCAGCUAAAUAUUAAUGGGAAAUGACUGAAUUAGUUAGAUUAGUUGAAUUUCCAAAGAUGGAAAUCAGGUUUGAAAAUGUCAAAUGAAUAAGAUUAGAUAGAUAUUUACUCUAAAAGAACAUUAGUAUUGUAGCACUAUAUUGCUGGUUCUAGGAAAACUUACUUUGAAUGAUCACCCAGUCACAUUAAAGGUAAGUCAUUGAAUGGAUAUCAAAUAUUGGUUUUGCAAAUGGAGAAUGCGAAACCUCUUUGACAAAGGUGUGAAAGUGUGUGCACACCUACAGCAAGUUAGUGUUUUACCCAUUUUCCAGGAUUUCUAUUGUGGAUCCAUACCUUAUGAAGAAAGUGAUGGAUAAGAAAGAUGGUGAUGCCAUUUGCAGCAAAACAGAAAACCCAUAUGAAUAGGAGGGUAUACUCAACAUUGAAAAUCAGUAUAUUUGCACAAGAUGAAAUCUACUAUUGUGACAAUUCAACAAGAGGAGGACCUGCAUAGUUAAAACCUACAGUAUGAUGUAUUGCAAGAACAGAGGACUUGUAUAGAUAAAAACAAGUGUUACCAGAUGUAAAAGCAGAGGAUUUGGAUAAGCUGAUAUCAUUUGCUUUGUUUUGAUAGUCUACAAAUAUGACAUUGCAAAACAAAUGCAAGAACACUCGAGCUGCAUAGGUUGGUAUCAUUUCGAAGAUAUAAACAUUUACUUGAACAGUAGCACAAGGAAAAAUUAGUAGUAUCAAUUAGCGGUGUAAAAUUGUCAUUUUUAAUAUGGAAGGUGAGCCAAUAAGAAUGAAGAUCAUAAUGAAAAUGGAAAUUAGAUUUGUGCAAGAUAAGAGCAACAAAUGACUUCAUGCAACAACACAGGACUUAAACUAAUCAUCUCUAUUUUGGUCAAACCAUAAGAGUUAGAGGAGAGCAUUCUGAAUAUGAAAAUCAGUAGGUUUGCAGGUAACACAUGGAAAAAGUUUGGUUUCAAGUAACCUAAUGCAACCAUGGUACCAGUGUCAUUUUGGCUUCCUGUUUAAGUUCCAUUUCUGCCCAUGAAAAUAUGAGCAGUAUGUCAGCAAACAAUCGUCUUGUUCUGGCUCACGAAAUAGCAUGCUUAGACCUUGCUAUGAAUCAGGUCUUGCACACGGAAAAGGCUAGUGGAGCACUGGAUUGAGGGCAUCAACAAUUGACUUGCGUAGGUUAACCCCAAUGAUCUGGAUUAUGUUCCAGUCCCAUCGGCAUGAACAUGCCGGCAUCAGGCAAAAUGGCAGUGGGCCGGGUGAUGCCAACUUGCCAUCUUCAGCAAAGGCCAAGGUGAUGGAAAAGACUUGGCACCAGUGCACAAACCUCUUGGUGUGAUUACUCAUUUGGUGCUUAGAAGGGGGCUUUAGAAUUAUUCUCAUCGAUAAACAAAUGUGGAAUGUAAGAUGAGCAAGACAUGAUUGGAAGAGCACAGGCUCCAGGGAGGAUGCCACUUCCAUGCUGUGCACCGUAUUCCUGGCCGCUGCGACCACAGGAGUGGAUUUCCAUAGUUGAGUUUCAGGAGUGUAUUCUAAACAAGGAAACCAGUAGGCUUGCAGAAGGUGUGAACCCAUCAGAGUUGGAGUACCUACUGAUCAUGAGAAUUGCUAAAGCCUGAAAAUGUGAUUUAGUGGAUCAGCAGUAAACUUGAGUGAACCCGUUUAGAUUUGAAGAUCACACUGAACAUGAGAUUCAGUACGUUUGCAUGAGAUAAAGCCUACAAAUGUGAUUUAGUGUAACAGCAAUGGACUUGAGUAGAUGUAACCUGCGAAUGUGAUUGCUAUAAGGAUAGGAGUGUGAUUACCAUCCACUUCAUACUGAUGUAGGCUAGAGAUGGUACGUGGGGCGAGAAAAACAGGCCUGCAAAGAUGAAACCUGCACCAAUUAAAUGGUUUUGAGGGGGGAACAAGAAAAUAUACAGUGUUAGCACAUGGGUGUUUUAUGAAGAUUGUUGCGCAGGACUUCAUGGUGGUCGUCAGAGGUACAUCAUUGUGGUGCACAUAAAACUGAAAUAUCCUCAAUGAGAAGAAAAUGUACUUCAUGGAACGUUAGCAAAUACAUCCAUAUUUGAUGAUAAUGCAAAUAAAUUGAGCCUUCUUUGAAA